UCGUGGUUAGCUCAGUUGGUAGAGUGCUCCACUGGAAAUAGAGAGCUCUCUCGUUGAAAACCAGAACCAGGCG
rnacentral:tRNA from 1 species